GGCCGACUAGCGCAGUUGGUUAGAGCAUCGAGCUAAUGACUCGAAGGUCUUGGGUUCAAACCCCAAGUUGGCCA